GAGCUUGGCGGUGUUUUAGACCUCUCAGGGGAACCUGUCUCGUAAUCGACAAUCCACGUUAGACCUAACCCUUUAUGGCGAAACAGCCUGUAUACCGUCGUCGUCAGGUAACUUCUUAAAAUAUAGCAGUUAGCUUGAGAAUUUUAUUAAUUAAAACGUCAGAUCAAGGUGCAGCUGAUAAAAGGGUGAGGAUGGGUUACAAUUACACACUUGUAAAUACGAAAGGAUAUUUGAAAUAAAAUGACCUGAAGGAGGACUUGAAAGUAAUUUUAAAUAUAUAAAUAGAAUGAAUAAGGCUCUGAAACGUGCACACAUCGCCCGUCGCUCUCGUUGAAAAAUGAGAUAAGUCGUAACAUAGUAGGGGUAAUGGAAAUUGUUCCUAGGC
rnacentral:rRNA from 1 species